AUACAAAAAGGUUGAGGGCGUCUAGUUAUAAAAGUUUGGGACAACUAUUGAAUACUUGAUCAAUGAGAGUUCACCUAAGAGUAAUAACAAGCUAUAGCCUUAAGGUCAACUUUAGUUAAUGAUCACAUAAAACUUAUAAAUACGUCACUAGUUCAGUUGCGAUAUGGAAUUCAAACGAGUGCUUUUGAAUCAAUCAGAGAAUGCGUCGUUUUCUGAAUUUUCAACUAAACACAUUAAUGUUCUCGGGAAAAAGAAAACAAUUGAAAAACAGCAACUCGUGGGAAGUGUUCAUAUAAUUCAAGUUGCAAGUGAAUGAUACACCAAUUUGAUAAUUGCAGCUUCGCAGGUCCACUCUACCCUACUGCCUGAUAUACUCAUCCCAUCUAUAUCGAAACUUUCAAAUUUGAUAUAUAUAUAUAUAUAUAUGGAAAUAUAAAUAUGCAUUUGUAAUGUUUGUUCUUUUCUACUAUCCUAAAGAGGUUUGGAGAUAAAUCAAAUGUAACUAAAAAUCAUACUAUAAAAUUACUUUAAACACGCAAAGCAGACAUGAUUUUAUUUUAUUUAUCUUUCCGAAUUAUUUAUAUCAACACAAACUUAGAUUAUUUGUCCUACAUAUCUUAGUAUAAGCUACUCUGUCACGCCUAUAAAUUAUAUCAACAUGUCUCAUAUAGAGCACAUUAUAAAAUCCUCGAUUAUGAUAUCAGAUUUUUUAUUAAUAUGUUAACUUGUAUAGAAUAUAGGUUCUGAGUUUGCGUUUUGUCUUUGACAUUAAAUAGUUAUAUUUAUGUAACAAGACAAAUCUAUCAAAAAUGACAUUUUUAUCAUAAAAUAAAAUUUAGUCUAGCAUGAAAAUCUAUAUACCCCGAGCGUGCUAAAGUUUUUAGGGCUUUAAGAUGCAUAAGAAACAAUGCAGGAAGUAUAUAAUGCUUUUAAGAGCAGACGUUACGUUUGGUUUAACAACGUCCCAAAGACAUUACUUCGAAAAGUACGUCGACGAUUUGAUAAGAACUGUCCGGUAAUGAUAUAUCUAGGGACAAAGAAAGAAAAGAAAAUGUGAAUCUAAAUACUUUGAAGGAAGAGCAAAUUAGCUCAAUAUACUUAAAAGGGUGGAAUACCAUACAAAUGGGGGAAAAUGGUAAUGAUGGAAGGAAGAAAAUUGGAGGGAUAUAGGGUAUAGAGUGCAAAUAGGGGAUAUUUGGUGUGUAGGGAGUACAAAUUCUCUUGAAGGAAUAUUAAAACAAAACCGAUCAAAAAUUGUCAUAUAGAUUCAAAAGAUGCGUAUUUGUAUAGUGAAGUGGAAAUCCGAUUGCGACUUGGUACGUCACUGCAUAUAUCUAACCUAAUUACGAAAAUAAUGACAAAGUAUACACAUUAACAAAGCAAAUACUUAUCCCAGCUAACAUUUCUUAAUAAAUCAACCAAACAAAUUUAACAAUUUAUUGAUCAACAUUAUAACAUAAAACUUCACGACCAGUCUACCCAGGGGCGUCCCUGAGGAGAGCCAUUUGAAACAUGGGCCUGGGGCCCCCAUUAUUAAAAGGCCCCUAUUUUAAAAAAAAAAUAUUUUGUUUUUUUUGAAACAUUAAAAAAAUAUUUAUAUGUAUUAAUAAUAAAAUCGAACAACAGAAUUUAGUGGGACUUACAUAAAAUAAAUCUUUUCUCUUCCCACAUUUACAGUUUUCUUAGCUUUUUGUUUGAGAAUUAGUUUUUUUUUUCUGUUUUGCUUAAAAAAAAAAUUCUUGCUCACGAAUUUUAAAAUUUCAGUUAUGUUAGAAGGGCCCCCAUUUUUUCAUUUGUUUAGAGCCCCACUUUUUCCAGGACCGCCCCUG
rnacentral:lncRNA from 1 species